rnacentral:rRNA from 1 species
AUUGAACGCUGGCGGCAGGCCUAACACAUGCAGGUCGAACGGUAGCACAGAGGAGCUUGCUCCUUGGGUGACGAGUGGCGGACGGGUGAGUAAUGUCUGGGAAACUGCCCGAUGGAGGGGGAUAACUACUGGAAACGGUAGCUAAUACCGCAUAACGUCGCAAGACCAAAGAGGGGGACCUUCGGGCCUCUUGCCAUCGGAUGUGCCCAGAUGGGAUUAGCUAGUAGGUGGGGUAACGGCUCACCUAGGCGACGAUCCCUAGCUGGUCUGAGAGGAUGACCAGACACACUGGAACUGAGACACGGUCCAAACUCCUACGGGAGGCAGCAGUGGGGAAUAUUGCACAAUGGGCGCAAGCCUGAUGCAGCCAUGCCGCGUGUAUGAAGAAGGCCUUCGGGUUGUAAAGUACUUUCAGCGAGGAGGAAGGCGUUGUGGUUAAUAACCGCAACGAUUGACGUUACUCGCGGAAGAAGCACCGGCUAACUCCGUGCCAGCCGCCGCCGUAA